rnacentral:rRNA from 1 species
UACGUAGGUGGCGAGCGUUGUCCGGAUUUACUGGGCGUAAAGGGCGUGCAGGCGGUUUGUUAAGUGCAGGGUGAAAGCUCCCGGCUCAACUGGGAGAGGUCCUUGCAUACUGGCGAACUCGAGGGAGGCAGAGGAGAGUGGAAUUCCCGGUGUAGUGGUGAUAUGCGUAGAUAUCGGGAGGAACACCUGUGGCGAAGGCGGCUUUCUGGGCCUUACCUGACGCUGAGACGCGAAAGCGUGGGGAGCGAACCGG